AGGGCGCACGGUGGAUGCCUUGGUACUAGGAGCCGAAGAAGGACGGAACUAACACCGAUAUGCUUUGGGGAGCUGUAAGUAAGCUAAGAUCCAAAGAUUUCCGAAUGGGGGAACCCAACACCUUUCAUAGGGUGUUACCAAUGAGUGAAUACAUAGCUCAUUAGGAGGUACACGCAGGGAACUGAAACAUCUCAUUACCUGCAGGAAGAGAAAGAAAAAUCGAUUCCCUGAGUAGCGGCGAGCGAAACGGGAGGAGCCCAAACCAACGAGCUUGCUUGUUGGGGUUGUAGGACUAGAACGUGAGAAGAAAUCAAGAUAGCAGAAGUGGUCUGGAAAGGCCCAUCAAAGAAGGUGACAAUCCUGUACGCGACAUCUUGAUGAACUCUACUAGCAUCCUGAGUACGGCGGGACACGAGGAAUCCCGUCGGAAUCCGCCAGGACCAUCUGGCAAGGCUAAAUACUACCUAGUGACCGAUAGUGAACCAGUACCGUGAGGGAAAGGUGAAAAGAACCCCGGGAGGGGAGUGAAAGAGUACCUGAAACCGUGUGCUUACAAGUAGUCAGAGCCCGUUAAUGGGUGAUGGCGUGCCUUUUGUAGAAUGAACCGGCGAGUUACGUUUACAUGCGAGGUUAAGAUGAAGAGUCGGAGCCGUAGCGAAAGCGAGUCUGAAUAGGGCGCAUGUAGUAUGUGGACGUAGACCCGAAACCAAGUGAUCUACCCAUGUCCAGGUUGAAGGUGCGGUAAAACGCACUGGAGGACCGAACCAGGGCACGUUGAAAAGUGCUUGGAUGACUUGUGGGUAGCGGAGAAAUUCCAAACGAACUUGGAGAUAGCUGGUUCUCUCCGAAAUAGCUUUAGGGCUAGCGUCGACAUUAAGAUUCUUGGAGGUAGAGCACUGUUUGGGUGAGGGGUCCAUCCCGGAUUACCAAUCUCAGAUAAACUCCGAAUGCCAAUGAAUUAUGGUCGGCAGUCAGACUGCGAGUGCUAAGAUCCGUAGUCGAAAGGGAAACAGCCCAGACCACCAGCUAAGGUCCCAAAAUAAUUGUUAAGUGGAAAAGGAUGUGGGGUUGCACAGACAACUAGGAUGUUAGCUUAGAAGCAGCUAUUCAUUCAAAGAGUGCGUAAUAGCUCACUAGUCGAGUGACCCUGCGCCGAAAAUGUACCGGGGCUAAAACAAUUUACCGAAGCUGUGGAUACCUUUAUAGGUAUGGUAGGAGAGCGUUCUAUGUGUGAUGAAGGUGUACCGUGAGGAGUGCUGGAACGCAUAGAAGUGAGAAUGCCGGUAUGAGUAGCGAAAGACAGGUGAGAAUCCUGUCCACCGUAAGACUAAGGUUUCCAGGGGAAGGCUCGUCCGCCCUGGGUUAGUCGGGACCUAAGGAGAGACCGAAAGGUGUAUCCGAUGGACAACAGGUUGAUAUUCCUGUACUAGAGUAUGUAGUGAUGGAGGGACGCAGUAGGCUAACUAAAGCAGACGAAUGGAAGUGUCUGUCUAAGCAGUGAGGUGUGAAUUGAGUUAAAUGCUUAGUUCUAUAACAUUGAGCUGUGAUGGGGAGCGAAGUUUAGUAGCGAAGUUAGUGACGUCACACUGCCAAGAAAAGCUUCUAGCGUUAAACAUACUCUACCCGUACCGCAAACCGACACAGGUAGUCGAGGCGAGUAGCCUCAGGUGAGCGAGAGAACUCUCGUUAAGGAACUCGGCAAAAUGACCCCGUAACUUCGGGAGAAGGGGUGCUGGUAGCAAUACCAGCCGCAGUGAAUAGGCCCAGGCGACUGUUUAUCAAAAACACAGGUCUCUGCAAAAUCGAAAGAUGACGUAUAGGGGCUGACGCCUGCCCGGUGCUGGAAGGUUAAGAGGAGAGGUUAGCCGCAAGGCGAAGCUUUGAAUUGAAGCCCCAGUAAACGGCGGCCGUAACUAUAACGGUCCUAAGGUAGCGAAAUUCCUUGUCGGGUAAGUUCCGACCCGCACGAAAGGCGUAACGAUUUGGGCACUGUCUCAACGAUGGACUCGGUGAAAUCAUAGUACCUGUGAAGAUGCAGGUUACCCGCGACAGGACGGAAAGACCCCAUGGAGCUUUACUGUAGUUUGAUAUUGAGUGUUUGUGUCACAUGUACAGGAUAGGUAGGAGCUGAAGAAUCCGGGACGCCAGUUUCGGAGGAGGCAACGGUGGGAUACUACCCUUGUGACAUGACCACUCUAACCCGCACCCCUAACCGGGGUGGGAGACAGUGUCAGACGGGCAGUUUGACUGGGGCGGUCGCCUCCUAAAAUGUAACGGAGGCGCCCAAAGGUUCCCUCAGAAUGGUUGGAAAUCAUUCGAAGAGUGUAAAGGCAGAAGGGAGCUUGACUGCGAGACCUACAAGUCGAGCAGGGACGAAAGUCGGGCUUAGUGAUCCGGUGGUACCGUAUGGAAGGGCCAUCGCUCAACGGAUAAAAGCUACCCUGG
rnacentral:rRNA from 1 species